rnacentral:rRNA from 1 species
CCUACGGGGGGCAGCAGUGGGGAAUAUUGGGCAAUGGAGGCAACUCUGACCCAGCAACGCCGCGUGAAUGAUGAAGGUCUUCGGAUUGUAAAGUUCUGUGAUGGGGGAUGAACACAAUGACGGUACCUGAAGAAUAAGCUCCGGCUAACUACGUGCCAGCAGCCGCGGUAAUACGUAGGGAGCGAGCGUUAUCCGGAAUUAUUGGGCGUAAAGGGUGCGUAGAUGGCAUAGUAAGUCUUUUGUAAAAAGGCUGGGCUCAACCCAGUAGGGCAAAAGAUACUGCAAAGCUAGAGUAUGACAGAGGCAAGUGGAACUACAUGUGUAGCGGUAAAAUGCGUAAAUAUAGGUAAGAACACCAGUGGCGAAGGCGGCUUGCUGGGUCGAGACUGACAUUGAGGCACGAAAGCGUGGGGAGCAAACAGGAUUAGAUACCCCAGUAGUC